rnacentral:misc_RNA from 1 species
AGAGAGAGAGAGAGAGAGGCAAUUGGUGCAAAUGGAAGUGUGACAAAAAUGGAAAAGGAAGUGGAGAAAGGAAAGAUAUUGAUGAUGAAUAAAAAUGGAAUUAAGAUGGACUUGGCUGCAGUAUGGAGGAUCCGUAUGGAGAGGAGCUAAGGGGCGAAUGGUGGCAAUGGAUACAGAUGCAGAGUUGUUAGGGUUUUUGCAGG